ACGCUGGCGGCGGCCUAACAAUGCAAGUCGAGCGGUCGUAGCAAUACGGCAGCGGCAGACGGGAGAGUAACACGUGGGAACGUACCCUUCGGUUCGGAACAACCCAGGGAAACUUGGGCUAAUACCGGAUACGUCCGCAAGGAGAAAGAUUUAUCGCCGGAGGAUCGGCCCGCGUCUGAUUAGCUAGUUGGUGGGGUAAUGGCUCACCAAGGCGACGAUCAGUAGCUGGUCUGAGAGGAUGAUCAGCCUCACUGGGACUGAGACACGGCCCAGACUCCUACGGGAGGCAGCAGUGGGGAAUAUUGGACAAUGGGCGCAAGCCUGAUCCAGCCAUGCCGCGUGGGCGAUGAAGGCCCUAGGGUUGUAAAGCCCUUUCGGCGGGGAAGAUAAUGACGGUACCCGCAGAAGAAGCCCCGACUAACUUCGUGCCAGCAGCCGCGGUAAUACGAAGGGGGCUAGCGUUGCUCGGAAUCACUGGGCGUAUAGCGCACGUAUGCGGCUUCUU
rnacentral:rRNA from 1 species